rnacentral:rRNA from 2 species
GAUGGUGCUUGCACCUGAUUGAUUUUGGUCGCCAACGAGUGGCGGACGGGUGAGUAACACGUAGGUAACCUGCCCAGAAGCGGGGGACAACAUUUGGAAACAGAUGCUAAUACCGCAUAACAACGUUGUUCGCAUGAACAACGCUUAAAAGAUGGCUUCUCGCUAUCACUUCUGGAUGGACCUGCGGUGCAUUAGCUUGUUGGUGGGGUAACGGCCUACCAAGGCGAUGAUGCAUAGCCGAGUUGAGAGACUGAUCGGCCACAAUGGGACUGAGACACGGCCCAUACUCCUACGGGAGGCAGCAGUAGGGAAUCUUCCACAAUGGGCGCAAGCCUGAUGGAGCAACACCGCGUGAGUGAAGAAGGGUUUCGGCUCGUAAAGCUCUGUUGUUAAAGAAGAACACGUAUGAGAGUAACUGUUCAUACGUUGACGGUAUUUAACCAGAAAGUCACGGCUAACUACGUGCCAGCAGCCGCGGUAAUACGUAGGUGGCAAGCGUUAUCCGGAUUUAUUGGGCGUAAAGAGAGUGCAGGCGGUUUUCUAAGUCUGAUGUGAAAGCCUUCGGCUUAACCGGAGAAGUGCAUCGGAAACUGGAUAACUUGAGUGCAGAAGAGGGUAGUGGAACUCCAUGUGUAGCGGUGGAAUGCGUAGAUAUAUGGAAGAACACCAGUGGCGAAGGCGGCUACCUGGUCUGCAACUGACGCUGAGACUCGAAAGCAUGGGUAGCGAACAGGAUUAGAUACCCUGGUAGUCCAUGCCGUAAACGAUGAGUGCUAGGUGUUGGAGGGUUUCCGCCCUUCAGUGCCGGAGCUAACGCAUUAAGCACUCCGCCUGGGGAGUACGACCGCAAGGUUGAAACUCAAAGGAAUUGACGGGGGCCCGCACAAGCGGUGGAGCAUGUGGUUUAAUUCGAAGCUACGCGAAGAACCUUACCAGGUCUUGACAUCUUGCGCCAACCCUAGAGAUAGGGCGUUUCCUUCGGGAACGCAAUGACAGGUGGUGCAUGGUCGUCGUCAGCUCGUGUCGUGAGAUGUUGGGUUAAGUCCCGCAACGAGCGCAACCCUUGUUACUAGUUGCCAGCAUUAAGUUGGGCACUCUAGUGAGACUGCCGGUGACAAACCGGAGGAAGGUGGGGACGACGUCAGAUCAUCAUGCCCCUUAUGACCUGGGCUACACACGUGCUACAAUGGACGGUACAACGAGUCGCGAACUCGCGAGGGCAAGCAAAUCUCUUAAAACCGUUCUCAGUUCGGACUGCAGGCUGCAACUCGCCUGCACGAAGUCGGAAUCGCUAGUAAUCG